UAAGUCCAUAUAAAACCUUCUUCAAUUUGUACACCUUCUGUUCAUUCCCUUACUGUUCAUAUUCAGGAGGUUGUUCCAUAAAAACUUCUUCACUUAGUUCACCAUGUAAGAAUGUUGAUUUUACAUCUAACUGAUAUAUUGUCCAUUGUUUUAGAGUUGCAAGAGAAAUAAUCAUCUUAAUUGUAUCCAAUCGACCUACAGGUGCAAAAACCUCAGUAUAAUCCACCCCAUGUUCUUGAGCAUAUCCAAAGCAAUCGAGCCUUGUGUUUAUCCACCUCUCCAUUCUCAUUAAGCUUAGUCUUGUAAACCCAUUUUGCUCUAAACUUCUUUCCUUCAGUAGGUAGCUCUGUCAAUUCCCAUGUAUCAUUCUUCUCUGUAGCUUCCAUCUCUGUAUCCAUCACUUUUCUCCAUUUUGGACUCUUCACAUCAUCCUUAAAUGAGAUAAGAUCAUUGUCUACAAAGAUAUCUAGAUAUGCACUGUCUUCUUUCUUAGAAUGACCUUCUCCACUAUCAUAGUCUCUCAUCCACACAAGUGCCUUUCUAACUCUUCCUUCACUAGAACUAGGUGGAUCAUCAAUUGACUCAUCCAAGUAACCCUCUACAUCUUCUGUUUUGUUAUCAUGAUGAACAAUUUCAGUGUUUCUUCCAGCAUGUUCCCCAUUAUUGUCAUAUGUGGUUGCUUCUUCAUCAAUUUCUUCCCAGUCAAGAUCAGCUAUAAUAUCUCCUUCAUGACUCUUGUCCCAUUCCCAACUAUUUUAUUCUUCAAGUAUCACAUCUCUGCUUAUUAUUUAUCUUCUGCGUAAUUAGAUCAUGCGAUCUGUAUGGCUUCGACUCCUCAGUAACUCCAAGUAAAAUACAUCUAAUGCUUUUAUUAUCAAGUUUAGUCUUCUUAGCAUCAGGAAUAUGAACAUGUGAAAUGCAGCCAAACAUUGGAUCCUUUCCAAGCUUUUUCUGGAGUCCGAUUUUUCACUGCAAGAUUUGGACUUCUAUUCAAAACAUAGACAGUCCAAUUGACUGCUUCAGGCCAGAAAGUUUUAGGAAUUUGCUUCUCUAGAAGCAUGCUUCGAACCAUAUUCGUAAUGGUAAGAUUUUUUCCCUCCAUAACCCCGUUCUGUUGAGGAGUAUGUGCAGUUGUCAUUUGUUUAUGAAUAUCAUUUUCUUUACAAAAAUCUGUGAAUUCAUGUGAUGAAAAUUCUCCUUCUUGAUCAGUGCAAAGACAUCUUAAAUGGGAGCCAAUUGUUGAAGAUAUGGAAAAUAUUGGUAAGAAUAAUAUUUAUUAUAUUUUCCCUUUUAGUGUAUGAUUAUUUUCCUUAGUAGUUGAUUGUGUAAUUGUUACAGAAUCUUUACUUUUACAUUAUUUCAUUUUGCAAUUAUUUGUAGUCUUAUAAAUAGGGUCUUCUCCUUUGUAAUAUUCACAAGACCUUAAUAAUACAAUUUAUAAUAUUUUAAUAUGGUAUUAAAGUAUGUUUAACUUGGUCUUGGGUUAAACUUGCAAGCUUUCAUUUUUUGACGAGCAGCCUUGUGCCGCUCGUCCGGUGAUCAAAAUUUCUGUAUUUUAUGGUAUUUGUUUUAUUGCCUUUACAUUGAUUUCUUACUCUCCUUUUCGCCAGAAAAUCAAUCAACUCUCGUUAUCAAGAUUUGUUUACAAAUAUUUUCGCCUCACUGCAUAUAAGCCCUAGUCAAAUAACCCAUUAUUCAUGCAAAUUCUUCAUGGAUCUGACCUCGUUAGGGUCGAUGGCUCUCGUGGACCCGACCUCGUUAUUGUGGUUAAUUCUAAUGGACACUGAUUGUUUCGAGUAUAGGAGGAUUUUUUGUUGUUCUAGUCGUCCGGCUGUCGAGGUUUUCCACAGUGCUUUCAAUACUUCUGCCAUGGCCAUGAAUUAUCUUCAACAAAUCAGCGACUGGUGGUGGUUGUCGGAGUAGAAGAGAAAGUGGCCGACGACGAGACCUGUGGAAAAGAUGGCAGAUGUUGGUGGCUGAGGAGUGGUCGGCAACUGAUGGGUAUAGCGUUGAAUUUGCAACGAUUGUAGUGUGGUUUUGGAUACAAGAGUAUUUUGAAAUUGGGUUGUGGUUUGUGGUGAGUAAGUAUGGGCUGUUUUUAGUAUACUGAAGAGAUUAUUAGGCUGUAGCAUUUUGGUUUGAGCUGUAGAUUGUGAUGGUUUGAGCUGUAGAUUGUGAUAGUGGGCUGGAGCACUUCGAGGAAGUUAUGAUUUGAGCUGGGUGUUGGAACUUAGUUGGGUUGGGUAAUUUAAUAUAUAUGGGUUGUUUGUUAUUGUUGGGCCAUAUGGUGUUCUGGACCGAUUAGAUGGGUUAAAAAAAGUGGGCUUGGAUUAUUGUGUUGGGCUGGAAAGUAAAGAUUGAGCUGAUUUAUUUACUUGGCAGGUUAAUUGCGUUAAUUUGUUGGUUUUGGCUAAAAUUUGGGCUAUUGAUAAUUUGUUCUUUUGGGAUAUUGUUUAGGCUGCAAUAUUUGUUUCCAGUUUGGGCUACUUUAUUAGUAUAUUGGACAGGUUAUUAGGUCGGUUAAUUAAUGUUGAACCUGGUUUGGAUAAUUGGUUUAUUGGGCUUCUUUCUCUUUUGGGCUAGUUAAUUUAGGCAAAAACUUGAUGAUUUGCUGGUAAAUUACUACCAAUUUGAGUUAUCUACAAAACAAUAAAGGAUUUGGUAAUUACUGGCAAACGUUUCUUCUCUCUUCUGUUGUUGCUUCAUGUCAUCUGUUCAUUUCUUCUUUUUUCUCUCAUUUUUAUUCUGAUUCUUUGUCCUUGGUUGGUUGAUCAAGAAUUGGUUCUUCUCCUCUAUGAUAUUUUUUUCCGAAUUUGUUUGGUGAUUAUCUUGAUUUGAUUAUUUGGUCUCUCUCUCUCUCUCUCUCUCCCUCUGUCUCUCUCCCUCUCUCUCUCUUUUCUGCUUCGUCUUCUUCUCUGCAUUCAAUUUGACAUAUCCUCAGUUCAUGGGAUUGGACAUUUGGUUUGGUGUAGGUCCAGUUCAUCUGGAAUUUGAUUUGUUAUUUUGUCUGGUGUAUUUAGAAUUUGGAAUUUCGUAUAGUCGGAUUUUGGAAUUGGUAUGUCAAGUUCAAUUGGAAUUUGAAAUUUACAUCCGGUUUAAUUGGCAUUUCUCCUCUCCCGAUUUCUUCUUUGGCGUUGUCUUCUUCUCCGUAGCUAUCUUAUUCUACUACAUCUAUGCUGCUCUUCUUACUGUGGUUGUUCUAUUGAAUGAUUUCCCUCAAAUGCUUUGAAGUUCAUCUACAUCAAUUUGGAAGAUUUGAUUUGAUCGAUUUAUUUUUCAAACUCGAUAUGACUGUCACAAGACCGUAUUGAGUUUGAGAGAGGGUGUUGAAGAUAUGAAAAAUAUUGUUGAGAAUAAUCUCUAUUAUAUUUUUCCUUUUAGUGUAGGAUUAUUUUCCUUAGUAAUUGAUUGUGUAAUUAUUAGAUAAUAUUUUCUUUUAUUUUAUUUUCUUUUACAGUUAUUUGUGGCCCUAUAAAUAGGGUAUUCUCAUUUUUAAUAUUCACAAGACCUUAAUAAUACAAUUUAUAAGAUUUUAACAUCAGUUUCUUUCUCGACACGACUUUUAUAGUUCUUGAAAGUGGCAAAAGCUUCAUACUUCUAUACUAAGAAAUAAACCCAAGUUUUGCUACUAAAAUCAUCGAUAAAAGUAAUUAGGUACCUUUUGUUGCUAUUUGAGACAGGCUUAAUUGGUCCACAUAUAUCAGCAUAGACCAAUUGAAGGAUUUGAAAAGCCCUCCAUGUGCUUUUCUUUGGAAAGGAAUUUUUUCGUUGUUUUCCUUUUUAGCAAUCUUCACACACCUUCAAAGGAGCUGUAAAUUGGGGAAGUUCAUUCACCAUUUUUUUCUGUUGCAGAAUUUUUAAGCUAGUGAAGCUUAAAUGUCCAUAUCUAAAAUGUCAAAGUCGAGCUUGAUCUUCUGUAAAAGAACGCAAACAUGUCUAUUCUUCCUUUGGUUGUAUUGUAGAAAGCAAGACAAACAUUCUAUUUGAUGACAUUGCAGUCUCCAUAAUUAAACCUCUCUUAGGAUAAUAAAUCUUACACUUCCCAUGAUGUAUGAGAAUUGUAAGUCCCUUUUCUUGUAGCUGUCCAACACUGAGCUGAUUAUUCUUCAAUCCAGGGACAUAAAACACCUCGAUGAUGGUCUGCAUAAUUCCGUUAACCAACAUCUGUAUAUUGUCUUUUUCUAUCACAGCCAUACUUGAGUUGUUUCCCAACUUUACAGAAGUGCUGAAAUUGUUUAUCUAGCUUGUUGAAAAAUUCCUUCUUGCCGUACAUAUGGUUACUGUAUCCUGAGUCAAGAGACCAUAAAUCUUUUUUGCUAGCUUUCUUGUUAUCCUCAUAGGCCAUUAACAACAUUUCUUCACUAACAUCAACAUAAUGUGCAUUCUAUGUCUCCUUACUUGGACAUUCAUACUGAAAAUCUCCAAGCCUGUGGCAAUUAUAGCACUCAAUGGUAGACUUAUUAAAGCUUUGUCUACCCCUACCUCGUCCUCGUCCUCGUCCUCGUCCUCGUCCUCUAAUUCCACCACUACUUCGUCCUCUUCCUCCUAAUUGAUUUUCAUAAGUAAGCUUCAGAGCCUGCUCUUCCGUAGCAUGGCUAUUCAUACGUUGUUCAUGUACAAGAAGAUUGCUCUGUAGUUCAUCAAUGGAUAAGUUGUCUAGAUCAUUAGACUCCUCAAUAGAGCAUACAACAUAGUCAAAUUUUGGAGUCAUAGAUGUUAGAAUCUUUUCAUUGACCACGACAUCAGUCAUUUCUCUCCAUGAUUCCUCAUCUUGUUUGCUAUAGUAAAAGUUCUAACAAAAUAUUCAUUCACAGAUUCUCCUACUUUCAUGUUGAGCACCUCAAAUUCCUUUCGAAGAGCUUGUAGUUUCCAGAACUGGUUUAUCAGUGGCUUGGAAUAAAUAAGUGGUUGUGAUUUUGAGGAACAAUUGAAGAAGAUUAAAAGGGGGAGAAGAAGUUAUUAAAAAAAGGAGAGUAGAAAUUAAAUUUUUAAGGUGAAUUUUGAGGAGAAAUGACAUGAUGAAAUCAGAAAAAUUGGAGGAUAUUAACUUAACAACUAAAGGAAAAUUUUGUCAUUUUGCCAACUAAAAUAUUUUGCACUUUUUUAUUUGAUUUUAUUAUUGGUCAAAGGCCAUUUAACUAAACAUUGCGGCCAAAUUCCUUAUGAUAUUGCUAAUGCCUAAUGGAAGAAACUAUUUAGUUUAAAAAUUACUCAAGCCCUGGGGAUUGGGGUGCUUGCUGAGCAGCUCUCCAUUCUACUCUUGAAUCUUGAUUAAACUCUAUUGUACCAAAUCUUUCUGGUACAGAUUUGUCUGUGUUUUUGUUUUUGUCUCCUUGUGUAUGUAUGCGAAGAAUUAAUCAAAUAUUAUACAAUAGAAUCAUCACGUGUUUAUGAUUUUUUUCCAUACUCGACGUUACUUUUAUUCUAUAAUUGAUUGCAAUUAAUAGCUAGGGUUUUUGUUUUGACUUUAAAUUCCUGGAAAUGUGAAAUUUAAAGAUUGUUUAAGGAAGAGGAGGGUUUUCGAUGCUGGACAUGCAAGCCUUGUCCCCUACAAGCCCUUAAACUUGCACUCAACCUUGUCCCAAGCAAGUACCUUAAACUUUGUCUCGAGCAAACACCUAAGUCUUGACCUUCCAAGAAUCUCAAAUCUUGCCUCGUACAAGCAUCAUUACAAAUAUUUUGUACAUUUAGAUAAAAUUAGUCUUAAAAAAUCAAUAAGUAAAAGGACCAACCAUAUAAUUUCGAAGUCUAUAAAGUAUCGUAUGUAAAAAUUUUAAGUUAAGGUUUGGGUUCAACAUCCUUCCUUUUUAAUCUUAAAUACGAAUGGUGUCCAAUCCCUUCCUUUCAAAUUUUUAACAAGUUCGGAGUUAAGCCCUUUUCAAACUUUUAAUAUGUUCGGGGAAAAGCCCCAUUCCAUUUAAUAUUUUUAACAAGGUUGGGGUCAAGCCUUUCCUUUUAAUUUUUUAACAACGUCAGUGUCAUGUUCCUUUUCUUUCAAAUUUUUAACAUAACCGAGGUUUAGCCCUUCUUUUCAAAUUUUUUGACAAGGUCGAGGUAAAGCCCCUUCCUUACAAAUUUUUUAACAAGAUCGAGGUUAACUCCCAUUCCUUUUAAAUUUUUAAAAUGAUCGGGACACGCUAUCUUAGAUCUCUCCGGGGCCUAUCAACUUGACAUGAGCGUGCCUACUCCUUGGCAUGAUCAUUCCUAAUCCAUAGCUUGAGCAUGCCUAUCUCUUUGCAUGAAUGAUGAGAACCACAGAACGAUGGCCAACAAGGAUUUGUUGAUUGUGUAAGAAGGACCAAUGAAGAGCUCGCAAGCGAAGAAGAUCAAGAAAGUCAUAUGAUUACUUGCCCAAGCUACUAUGUGGACCAAGAGUUCGAAUGCAACGAACAAUAAUUUCACAACUCACCAUAUCUUUAGGAAUUAAUUUCUUAAGAGGAGGCGGUGCAGACGUCUUUCGAUGCUUAGGGGUUAUCAAGGGAGCGACGUCCAAGUCAGAUUGCUAUAGAAAAAACACGAAAAAAAUUAGUUACUAUCCAGAAAAUAAGUAAGAAGCCUUUAAAAAUAAUUAACACGUGAAUUUACCCACAGUAGUCUGAGCACGAACAUUGUGGAAUUUUGAAUUGGAGGGAUGACUUGCCACAAAGGAAAGAUGGGUAAAAGGCAAAUAACAAGCAAAGGAAAAUUACUUAGAGUAUGUUUGAUUAACAUGGAAAAUAUCACCUAGAAAAGAAAAUAUUUUCCAUCUUUUGUGGAAAAUAAAAACUACAUUUACCCAAGGAAAAUGUUUUCCUUAAAAACAAGGAAAAUUAGGCUUAUUUUCAAAAGUUGGAAAAUGUUUUCCAUGGAAAAAAAAAUAGCAAUCAAACACUCCAAGUAGGAAUUUGGGUGGAAAACUCCAUAAACAAAACUAGGACAUAAUCAUAGAAGGGUGAGGGAAAAUCAGUUGCAGUACCCAAUUGUAUAUUUUAUUGGGUGUGGUUACAAACUUCGAACAAGUUUUGGGGAAGGGAGGAGAAAGAUAAUAAUACCUAUUUUGUGGGUGCAUUUUAUUCAUCGCCUUCAUAGGAUGGUAGAUAGAUAAGAAAACCUCUGGAGAAAGACUUCCAAGCCUGCAAUAUCCCAUAGCAAAAAUGAACCAACCAUAUAGGGCCAUCCAUUCAGCAUAAGUUGGGUGGGAGCAGUAUUAAUGGAAGAAAGGAUGGGAUGAAAAAAGGGUGAAAGGGGAUUUUAAGCCUCAUUUCCAUCAAAUACCUAUGGGUAACUAUACAAUCAUGAGGGCGAUCCACGGUUUGUAAUUGCCUAGGACAAAUCAAGUCUAUGUCCGCAGGGAUACCAAAGAGAUCUCGAAAUUUACCUAAAUCAUUUUUCAAUAAUAUUGGCAAAUAUCUCUAAGGCUUCAAAAGCCUCCCUAUCGUCGGUAUUCAAAUCAAUCAAAACUCAAAGGUUGCGAACCUUAUUAAUAUUUGGUUGGAAACUACCUCCCGAGUUAAGAAGUUUAGGAUUACCCCUGCCCUUCGGGGCAUAGCCUAGUGGUACAAAGGACAGGAGUGACGUUAUUUCACGCCUUGCUGGCAGCCGCAGUGUGAGGGUUCGAUUCCUGAGACAUGGAAUUUGACUCCUUGUAGGCGCAGUGUACAGACAGCUCUUGUUCCUGGCUUGCUGGGGCACAUCCCGCGAUUUACCUCCCUUACAAAACUCUAGAAGCGGGGUGGCGGGGGCCCUCAAAGUUGGGGUUCAAUCUUAAGUUUAGGAUUACCCCUAAAAGUGGAUGGCUUCGUUGCGGAAUGGAGACCCAUUAGAAGAAAAAAGGCACCCCAAGGAAAAAGUCCCCAAGUCUAAAACUUUCGACUUUUGAGUCUGGGACAAAUUUUGAGAAUCACUUUAAGAAGACACGGUAAUAAAAGUAGAACGCAAAAUACAUCUAAAGAAAGGGAAAAAUUACUAAAGAGAAUAUGUAUAGCAAGAAAAAGAUCACAAAGAAGGGACAAGAAACCUAUAAGAAGAAAAGACAUUUUAUAGAUUCUAAAAAGGAACGUGAGCCAUUAGACUAAAUACUUAAACAAAUCACAGCCAUCCAAAUUAUCCAGGCAAUCACGACCAUUAGAUGUUAGGGGGUGUCUGAUUGAAAAUUCAAAAAGAAUGAAUACGAUUAUAUGUAACCAACCGCAUGUCAAAUGUGCACAAGCCACUAACCUGGAAAUGUGCAAAAUAGGCCUUGUUGUGCACGUAAAUAAUUGUAACAAUCAUAGCAUGUUCCCUCAAUAUAGCCCAAAUCAUCGAAGAGUAGGCGCCAAUAAUGACAAGCUCUCAUAUUAAUAGAAAUACGAGUCCUAAAUCUAAUGCAAAUAAUAAAAUCGAACUUUGGGGACUAUUUGUUAAAACAUUGAAAUAAAAUCCGUGAAACUUGCCAUAUUGAUAGCGAAAACGUAAGGUGACAUGUGAAGGAACGAGGCGUAACCAAAGUAGGCGAAUCUUCUCUCAUUCAGGCUGGAUACAAAUUGUUACUAGAAUAACAAAUAGAUUAACGAAUAAAAUAUGAUACUCUGAUUAUAGCUAAUAAGAAGCUGCCAUUUUUCAUUGUCCCUAAUUGACCAAAUUACCACUAAACUUGGAGGAAAAUCUAUAAAUGCACUUAUUUUUGAAGAGAAAGACAUGCAAUUUAAAUAUUUAUAUUUCAAAUUGGUUUUCUUUUUUUUUUUCUCCUACUUCAAGUUUGAGCGUCGAAACCAGUAAGUUUAGAAGGAGAAGGUUAUAGUUAUGUUAUUUGUUUUGUUUUGUUUACCAUCAACACCCGGUUCUUAUGAAGGGAUUUUCUCUCCCAACCAUUUCAAAUAACCACGCGUCUACUAUGCAGGUAUAGAAUGGCCAAGAGCCUAAGCUACUCCAUGGACUACAAGCUGAAUGUAAGUCAGCCAUCUAACGGUCGUGGGAAACCCAAAAUUGGCAGCUAUAUCGUUUAUUUUUGUUUUGUUUUAUAAUAAUGUUCCUUUAUUUCAAUUUAGCAUCGAUAGGUCGACAAACAGUUUAAAAAUCCAUCUUUCUUGUCAGAAGGUUUCGAGUUCUUAUAAUGUUAGGCUUUGAAUUUGUUGUAUUUGACCCAAAUCCAGAAACAAUGUCAAAA
rnacentral:lncRNA from 1 species